GAACACGAAUGUAUUGUUGAAAAAUACGUUCCUAUAUAUGUGUGUAUGUACAUAUAUAUGAACACGUAUGUAAAAGAAUAUAGCCGCUCGUCUAUACUAUAUAUUAAAUUCAAUUUAUAAAAUAGAAAAAGUAACGCCUCCCGCCUCUACUAUAUUUUGUUAUAUACAAAAUUUUAAAAAAAAAAAAAAACAAAAGAGUACAGCCGUGCGGCUAUACUAUUUUUAAAUACAAAAAAAGUCCCCAACCAAUAGGGGCCACGUGUCUUUUUCAAAAAAAAUUCAAAACAGCGUAUAGCCGUGCGGCUAUACUAUUUUUAAAUAUAAAAAAAGACCCCCAGCCAUUAUGCCCACGUGUCAACACAUAUAUUUCUUUAAAAAAAAAUUCAAAACAGAGUAUAGCCGUGCGGCUAUACUAUUUUUAAAUAUAAAAAAAGUCCCCCAGCCAACAGGGGCCACGUGCCAACACAUUAAAAUUCAAAACAGAGUAUAGCCGUGCGGCUAUACUAUACUAUUUUUAAAUAUAAAAAAGACCCCAGCCAUUAUGCCCACGUGUCAACACAUACAUUUCUUUUAAAAAAAAUUCCACACCGAGUAUAGCCGUGCGGCUCUACUAUUUUUAAAUAUAAAAAAAGAGCCCCAGCCAUUAUGCCCACGUGUCGACACAUUUCUUUAUAAUAAAAAAUUUUUCAAAACAGAGUAUAGCCGAGCGGCUAUACUAUUUUUAAAUGUGAAAAAAGUCCCCCAACCAAUAGGAGCCACGUGUCAACACAUAUAUUUCUUUUAAAA
rnacentral:lncRNA from 1 species